rnacentral:lncRNA from 1 species
AGCAACUUUUAGGACAACCUGUAGAGUUUACCCUGUAGUGUCCAUCCACUAGUGUUCAUCUCAUAGUGCCCACCAUAGCAUCCCUAGUAGCAUCCACUCUGUCCAUAUCAUCCACCAUAGUGUCCGCCUAGUAGCUUCCACUCUGUGUUCUCCAAUAGUUAAGUGUCCAGCCUUAGUGUCCAACCCUAGAUAUCCAGCCUUAGUAUUGUCCAUCCACCAAUAAUGUCCAAAUUUAGAGACCAACCUUGGGUUCACUCAUAGUUUAGGAUUAUUCACCCA